GUUAAGUUUUAUUCUUGCUUUUUCGUUCAAUUUUUGUUUGUUCUAUAUGUAAAUUUUUGUGUGGGUUUGCCUUGGGUUCUAAAUGGUCUAUUUGGUGUUGUUUUUAUUUUAUUCUCAUUAGUUAUUAUUGUCUGGUUGAGUAUCCUCUUAUUCAGCAAUUCGUUUAUAGUUCCGGUUAAAUUUUGUGCCAGCAGCCGCGGUUAUACCUUGGGGGCAUUUGAAUGUGUUUGGCAUGUGGUAGUUUUGAUGGGUUUUAUUGAAUUUAUUUGAUUUUAUUUUUCUAAUUUGUUAGGUGAAAUUUUUAUUGUUAUUGGUUUUCUUUUAUUUGUUUGGAGGCUAUGAAAUUCUUAUUUAUAAACUAGGAUUAGAUACCCUAUUAUUUUGGAAUGUAAAUUGUUUGUGCUUGAGUAGUAUUAGUAUAUGUUCUUGAAACUUAAAGAAUUUGGCGGUAUCUUAUUCCAUCCAGAGGAAUCUGCCUCGUUAUCGAUAGUCCGCGUUGGACCUUACUUAGUUGCUAUUGGUUUGUAUACCGCCGUUUAUUGAUUAUCUUUUUAGAGUUCAAUUUAAUUUUCUAGUUGUUUUAUUUUGAUUUAUUUCAGGUCAAGGUGCAGCUUGUUUCUAAGUGGUAAUGGUGGAUUACAUUGUUAUUUGUUUUAUUGGAUUGUUAGUUUUGAUAUUGGCAUGAAAUUGGAUUUGGUUGUAAUGUCUUGUAGAUUGUUUUCAUGAUAAUUGGUUCUGAGAUAUGUACACAUCGCCCGUCGCUCUCGUUUAUUGUUAAUGAGAUAAGUCGUAACAAAGUGGUUGUACCGGAAGGUGCGGCUGGAUUGAU
rnacentral:ncRNA from 1 species